GCCCUUAUAGCUCAGUGGUAGAGCGCAGCACUUGUAAUCUCCCUUUCCAAGUCUAUGCUGAGGUCCAUCGUUCAAUCCGGUGUGGGGGCA
rnacentral:tRNA from 1 species